rnacentral:rRNA from 1 species
UACGAAGGGGGCUAGCGUUGCUCGGAAUCACUGGGCGUAAAGCGCACGUAGGCGGCUUUUUAAGUCAGGGGUGAAAUCCUGGAGCUCAACUCCAGAACUGCCUUUGAUACUGGGAAGCUCGAGUCCGGGAGAGGUGAGUGGAACUCCGAGUGUAGAGGUGAAAUUCGUAGAUAUUCGGAAGAACACCAGUGGCGAAGGCGGCUCACUGGCCCGGUACUGACGCUGAGGUGCGAAAGCGUGGGAGCAAACAGG